rnacentral:rRNA from 1 species
GUCACUGCUAUCGGUGUUCGACUAAGCCAUGCGAGUCAAAUGUUCUUCGUGAACAUGGCGUACUGCUCAGUAACACGUGGAUAACCUGCCCUUAGGUCUGGCAUAACCCCGGGAAACUGGGGAUAAUUCCGGAUAGAUCAUAGAUGCUGGAAUGCCCUGUGAUCCAAAGCUUUUGUGCCUAAGGAUGGGUCUGCGGUCUAUCAGGUUGUAGUGGGUGUAAUGUACCUACUAGCCUACGACGGAUACGGGUUGUGGGAGCAAGAGCCCGGAGAUGGAUUCUGAGACAUGAAUCCAGGCCCUACGGGGCGCAGCAGGCGCGAAAACUUUACAAUGCGGGAAACCGCGAUAAGGGGACACCGAGUGCCAGCAUCCUAUGUUGGCUGUCCAUAUGUCUAAAUCACAUGUGUUAGCAAGGGCCGGGCAAGACCGGUGCCAGCCGCCGCGGUAACACCGGCGGCCCGAGUGGUGGCCACUAUUAUUGGGUCUAAAGGGUCCGUAGCCGGUUUGGUCAGUCUUCCGGGAAAUCUGACGGCUCAACCGUUAGGCUUUCGGGGGAUACUACCAGGCUUGGGACCGGGAGAGGUAAGAGGUACUACGGGGGUAGGAGUGAAAUCUUGUAAUCCCUGUGGGACCACCAGUGGCGAAGGCGUCUUACCAGAACGGGUCCGACGGUGAGGGACGAAAGCUGGGGGCACGAACCGGAUUAGAUACCCGGGUAGUCCCAGCUGUAAACUAUGCUCGCUAGGUGUCAGGGACGGUGCGACCGUUUCUGGUGCCGCAGGGAAGCCGUGAAGCGAGCCACCUGGGAAGUACGGUCGCAAGGCUGAAACUUAAAGGAAUUGGCGGGGGAGCACUACAACGGGUGGAGCCUGCGGUUUAAUUGGACUCAACGCCGGAAAACUCACCGGGGGCGACAGCAAUAUGUAGGUCAAGCUAAAGACUUUACCAGAAUCGCUGAGAGGAGGUGCAUGGCCGUCGUCAGUUCGUACUGUGAAGCAUCCUGUUAAGUCAGGCAACGAGCGAGACCC